AUCUCCGAGGGAUUUCAGCCUUUAUUGAGGGGAGAUUUCAGAGAUUGAGGGGAGAUUUUUUUUGUGGUAAGGCUGCAACUCUUACGGCAGCGCACCUGUGAUUCCUGGAAGAAAAGAGGAGAAAUCCACAUACUAUCGACAGAAGAAAAAAUAUUUAAAAGGGCUCAAGUCGGAGACGAGGAUGAGAUGAGGGGGCACUUUAAACACGCCGCCCCGUGUGCAGCUCCGUGACGCGCCCGUGCGCGCUGCUGGCUCGCCGUUCCCGGCAUAUGGAGCGCGAAGCGAAAGCCGGGCUGUGAUUUGUCUCCCGUCCCCGCCGCUACCGGGGAGCUGAGCCGCGGCGGCGCUCUGAUGCGCGUCUCCCCGCCUGCCAGGCAGCGCCGGAGAGGAGGCUCCCGCCGCGGGAGCGCACAUUCGCCGAGGACCGCCGGAGAGCGCGGCAGCGGGUGAAGGAAGGAAGGAAGGGAGGAGAGGAGAGGAGGGAAGGAACAGGUAGCCGUCUACCUUUCCCACUCCAGACUCGUCCGCGGUCUCUAAAUGGACCGCCGCAAAGGCCACUGGGAAGUCCUUCAGAGUCUCGGUCCUGUCACACUUCGCACCCAGCGCCAGUGCUGAUGCCCACAAGCCAUCGCCACCCGCCCCUCUUCCGUGUGCCGCCCCUAUGCAGGUGGCCUCCCUCUGCCUGCUGUGCCCACCUCUGAGACCCAGCGCGGUGUUGAUGAAGUGCCCAGUCCCACCCGCGCUCACCAGAUAGAGUUCUGCAGACAGCUGCAUCAUGGACAGGCUGCUCUUCUCCUUGUUGGUGCUGGCUAUGUCAGUGAAGGCACAGCUGUGCCCAAAGCGGUGCAUGUGCCAGACCAUCUCCCCAUCCCUCGCCAUCCUCUGUGCCAAGACCGGUCUGCUCUUUGUGCCCACCGUCAUCGACCGGAGGACGGUGGAGCUGAGGCUCACGGAGAACUUCAUCACGGUGGUGAGGAGGAAAGACUUUGCCAACAUGACCAGCCUCUUGCACUUGACCCUGUCCAGGAACACCAUCAGCCAGAUUAUGCCUUACACCUUUGCUGACCUCAGCCGUCUCCGUGCUCUCCACCUGGACAGCAACCGCCUGACCGUGAUCGGGGAUGAGCACUUUCGGGGGCUGACCAACCUGAGGCACUUGAUCCUGAGCAACAACCAGCUGCACGAGAUCUCCCCCAGAUCCUUUGAUGACUUCCUUGGCACCCUGGAAGACCUGGACCUGUCCUAUAAUAACCUGGUUCACAUCCCUUGGGAGACAAUAGCAAGGCUGACUAACGUCAACACCUUAAAUAUGGACCACAACCUGAUCGAGCAUGUUCCUUUGGGGAUUUUUGCUAACCUGCACAAGCUUGCCCGACUGGACAUGACCUCCAACAAACUCAAAAACAUCCCCCCUGACCCUCUCUUUUUGAGGAUCCCGGUCUAUGCCAAAUCUAAAGGGUCACCCCUGUCCUCCUUGGUCCUCAGCUUUGGGGGGAACCCUCUGCACUGCAACUGUGAGCUACUUUGGCUCCGGCGCCUCACCAGGGAGGAUGAUCUGGAGACCUGCGCCUCCCCACCUGACCUCACGGCCAAAUACUUCUGGACCAUCCCCGAGGAGGAGUUCAUCUGUGACCCUCCGGUCAUGACCAGGAAAUCGCCCCAGACCUCCGUCAUGGAAGGACAGCCCGUCAGCCUGAAGUGCAAAGCCAACGGGGACCCCGAGCCGGACAUCCACUGGAUCUCCCCUGCGGGGAGGCUGAUCUCCAACACGUCCCGGAUGACUCCGUACAGCAACGGCAGCCUGGAGAUCAACAUCACCUCGGUGAAGGACACGGGCAACUUCACCUGCAUCGCCUCCAAUGCUGCCGGCGAGUCGACGGCGCAGGUGGAGCUGGUCGUCAACCCGCUCCCUCACCUGGCCAACAGCACCAGCCGCUUACGGGAGCCGGAGCCGGGGCCCUCCGACAUCCUCACCUCCGCCAAGUCCACCUCCCCCUCCGGCAACGACACCGCCAAGGCGCAGGAGAAGGUGGCCCUGGUGGAGCUCACCAUGAACUCUGCUCUCAUCAAGUGGACCUCGCAGCGCCACGUGCCCGGGAUCAGAAUGUACCAGGUCCAGUACAACAGCUCGAAUGAAGACCCCCUCGUCUACAGAAUGAUCCCCUCCACCAGCGAAGACUUCCUGGUGAAGGACCUGGUGUCGGGGCGGAAGUACGACCUGUGUGUCCUAGCAAUUUAUGAUGAUGGGAUCACAACGCUGACAGCCACACGUGUGGUGGGCUGCCUGCAGUUCACCACGGAACCAGAGUAUAGCCAGUGCCAGUCCAUGCACACGCAGUUCCUGGGCGGCACCAUGAUCAUCAUCAUAGGGGGCAUCAUCGUGGCCUCGGUGCUGGUCUUCAUCAUCAUCCUCAUGAUCCGCUACAAGGUCUACAGCAACCACGGGGAGCCCAGCAAGGCCAAGGUCAGCAACGUCUGCUCCCAGACCAACGGUGGCCAGGCCGCUCAAGUCACCCGGUCUGCUUCCAAAGGGACGGAAAGCCAGGAGGAGCAGCCCCUUGCCUGCGCGGCCGGAGCAGGUGGUGGCAGCAGUGGGAUUGUGAGCGUGAGCAGUGGAAGCAUUGGCGUGGGUGGAGCUGCCACCGGCAUCAGAGACUCCAAUACCACGGCCUUGGUCGUGGACUGCGAGAAGGUGCCGCAGAUCUCCGAGAUGACCGCCGAGGACAUUUUGUCGCCGGCGCAGAGACGGAAAUCCAGGACUAGUGUAGAACUCAUGAGGCAGACCUCACUGUCGUCUAAGGAAGCAAGGAGUGGAGAAGCACUGGGAGACACACAGACGCCUCAGCUCACGGACGAGAGGAAGACUACACGGGACUGGAGUGAUUUUAAAAUUUGAUGACUCCCUCCUCAGCUCCAAGGGAAACAGCCAUCACUCUGAAGAAACAUUCCAAGCCGUGCUCUACCACUGGAAUCGGCGAGGCAAUUAGUCGGGGAUUAUUGUCUCCACCAGGACUCUCUUUCUUUCAUUUUUCUACCCCACACUACAUCCGGGAGUUUCCUGCCUCCCCCGGGACUGAACUGAGGACAUGACAAACAAUUGCUGUUGCAGUGAACGCUCCUUACCCCCUGCUCAUCGCUGGCUUUUAAGCUCUUACUGCCUUUUCUACUGCUCCUUCUGGGUCAGACUGUGUGUGUGCCCUCUCCAGCCCCACCUCACCCCCCUCACCCCCGAACCGCCUGGCUGCCCCGCCACUGGAAGGGGAUUCUGCAGCAGGAAUGCCUCUUGCUUCACCGACUCCCCGAGUGCCAAACCUUCACGAUCACAAAGCUCCCACUUCUGCUGCAGCAAGCAUCGCCCCUGCUCUCGAUUCUGUUGGUCUGUUUUGCCCCGCUAAGAACGACAAAGCGCGCAGCCCCAUCACGGACCCCCCUCCCCGACACACUGGCCGCCCUGUGUCACUUCUUCCCCUCACCUUUUUUUUUUUGUAUCUGUACAUACUUGUGUUUCAAAUCUUAUAGUUUUGUACAUGUAAUUUUUUAUGGUGUUUAAUCUUUUUGAUAAUAAAAAGUGUGUUAAUUCACAAUGCCUUCGCUUCACAGAAAAAAAAAGGU